AGAUGGUCAACCCGCCUUUUGAGCUGCAUUUGACUUCCUGGACAAUCAGGCACACCUUCUGUGUUGGGUGUAACUUCACUGACCAGUUUCAGGUGCCUGAUGAUGAUGGAGGGUCUUUUCUGAGUCAAAUCCCCAGCUCCAGCUGUUGGCAUCCUGUAAGAUCAGACACUCCCCUCUGGAGGAAUAGGACUGGUGUCAUGGUCAGUGCUGCUCCCUAAUCAGGUCCCACAGCUUCACCACACUUUGCCCCUUCAAAAAUUUCAGCUUAGGCUGUGGAAAAAAAAACACUAAAAAUAAAACAACAAAAACCAAAGACAAACAAAGAGAAAAAAGGUGCUUUUUAUGUCAGGAAAGUUAAAAUCUUUCUUCUAAGCCAUAAUUACCAACAAUCUCAGCCAUUGUUCUGUAAAUGAGGUUUGAUGUUUUAAACUACAAAGACACAUAUUUAAGAUAUAGAACAGUGUUGCUGGGUUUUGUGUGUAUUUCUUUUAAUUCUAGAAAUUGUUUUUCUUUAUUUGAUAUAAAUCUGAAGGCAGGAACUCAUUGUAGAUACACAAGUGCAUGCAAUAUGGACAUAUCAAAAGGAAUUAAUCCAUACAGGUAUAGAUAAAAGAAGCAGGAAUAACUGUAUAUAGGCAGUGGGUAUGAGAGAAGACAAAAGGCAGGGAAGAAGCCAAAUACAAAUAAAAGAGAAUAUGAGAAGACUGUCACAUUAAGUUAAUACUAUGGGAAAUUAAAGUACUUUAAGAUCCUCAGAUGUAAGAUACUAUUGCAUAUUUAAUGUGUGCUAAUAAUUUGGAUCCUGGACAUUAACCUACAGGGGGUUGAAGGCUGACUGCCAAUGGACGUGACAGAGGAUCCAUCUGGUCUGCCCCAGCACAAAUCUCAAACAGUACAGGAGUGUGCAGCCACAGAGAACAGAAGAGUUCAACAUCUUGAGUGCCUACCUGUUCUUCUUUCUUUAGGGAAACUCUCAGACACUGGUCGAAAGAUGAUAUCUGGACAUCAUUUUGGAUUGUGAUAAAUUUCCAGGGCAUUGGUAUUAGGAAACCAUAAGAGGCAGGGAAAUUGCUUUCCAGAAACAAUAAUCUAUAUAGCAAUUUAGAUCAGUGGAGUACUUUUCAUACAAGGACAUCAUUGUUUUAAAAACAAAUCUAGAAGGAAGUCAUGAUGACACCUACUUUGGGUUUGAAAAAUGAAGUACAGGGGGAAAGUCUCCCCUAUUCAAAUUCCUUUCUUCUUGCUAAAAUUGCACAAAUUUCACUGGAGCUUCUUCUGAGUUACCUUUGCAUUAUAACCUUCCAGUCUAGAAGCCAGGGAAGUUAAAUAAUUUACCCAAGGUCACAUCACAAGCACCUGAGCCUCAGAGUAAAGAAUAGAGGUCCUCAGAGUCUUACCUAAAAGCGAUAAUGACGACUUCACCAUUAGCUGUAAAAUAGAAAUAUAAAAAUGUCUUUGCAUUAACAUCAGCACCUUAAAACUAAAAAUGAGAGAGCAUGGCCAAAGGGGUCUGAUAUAACUGACUACAGAGUCAGGGUGGAAAAAUAUAAAUCAAUUGAAUGAAAUGAUCUUUUGUUACAGACUAAAGAAGGAGUUUGGCUAUGUCUCAAGAAAUGGAGAAUUUUGCUGGACAUUAAUGGAACCAGAGAUACUCUCAACAGCUCAGGGUGGAUAUAACUGUGCAAUGGAGCAGAACAGAUUAAAAAUCCCAACCUAACGAAGGAUUAAUAUAUAAAACUGCAGGAGAAAGCCAUGACGUGAUAGAAAUAAUGUAAUGGUGCUCUUAGUAUGCAUUUUGUAUGUUCAGAAUAUUCAUCUUUUGCCUUUUCAGUUGUUUUCUCAAUUCUUCCUCUAGUGUGUGACAACAGGGUUGCUUCUUCUUUAAGUAUCAAUGGCUUCUUCUGACACCAAUGACUUAUUGUGCCAGGAACCAAAAAUAUACAGUAAUUCCUAAUUUGGCUGCAUAGUGCAGAACAGCUCAGUUGUGAGGAAUAUAAUUAUUUUCAUUUUUAUAUCAUUUUCAUAUGUAUAUAAUUUCAUAUUUAUAUCAUCAUAUCACACUUUGCUUGCACAAACUUCCAGUAAGUACUGCCCUGAAAGAGAGACAGCCACAAGUAAGACAAGGUGAUAGUUUCUUUUGGGCAUUGCAGUGCAGCAAAUCUCCCAUUUCAAGGGAUUUCUGUUGAAAAUUAAGUCAUUGUUUGCUUUUUCAGAAUGUUGCUUAGAAAAGAACUGAAACUUAUUGUUCAAUCAUGUGAAUGUCUGUCUUUCUUUAAAAAAGGAGUAUAGAUCCUCUUUUCACAUGCUCUUGACACACCUAUCUUUUUCUUUUGCUUUUUCCCAUUGUUUUCUCCAUACUCAUAAACAUUUUCUUCUCCACAUCCCAAGUGCACUGUCCCCUUCUUCACAUAUCAGGUAUCUGAUAUUUUGUUCUGGUUGGAAUAGCAGGCAUAAAACCUGAUAGGGAAAAUGCUGAAAAUCACUAGAAAACAGCUAUUUAACCAUAGUUUUCCCAUCUUCUCUCACCCUAAAGCACCACCAGAGAGAAGAACAGAAAAGUAUACAUGCAUGCACACACAUAUGCCCAAAGGCUGUACAUAAGAGGCACAUUUAUAUAUCUGUUAGAGAAAAAUAAUUGUACUGAAUUGAUUAUAAAAGCUGUAUUCUCACUUUUUAAAAAUUUUAUUUUUGGCUGAUGUUUUCCCUACUUAGUUAAUAGCUUUUAGAUUAUCUUUAUCCUCUUUCUCUUUUUCCUCUCUCAUCUUCCUCUGUGGCCAACUUGCUCUUCAUCCCUGGCUGCCAUGCUCAGUAAAUUCUGGACAUCAUUGCAACAGCUGCUUAGGAGUGGAUGGGAUUUGUCUCUGCAUAUCAAGCCAAAAGGCUCUACAGAUUUUGUUGUUGUGGCUGCAGACCAAACAAGGCCAAAAUUGUCUGCGAAACACUCUUCUUUUGGAUUUGCCUUAGAUAGCCUUUUCUGCUUUAUUUAUUUCCUUUUUUCUUCUCCUUAGUUUUCAAUCUUCUCCUUCUUCCUUUCCCUCCUCAUUUUUACUCUCUGUAUUUCAUGCCCAAUUAAUCUUGUUCUCUCCAGCACACUUUUAUAGGAAGGAAGGUUCAUGAAAAGAAGUUUCAGAAGAAGACUGAGCCAAUUUCCUUGGUAACUACCAAAAGCAAGUGAAAAUGACAAACGGAUUGACUACAGUGGAUUGAUUGAUGCUGAUUUAUAGCUGAAAAUUGGAUCAAGUGCGUCCACAUACA